AUGUUAAUCUUGUUUUGUGUUGUAGAUUGGAAGAUAAAAGCAAACRUUUUCAUUCUCAUCUGGUUUCCCAGUUCUGACCAAACUAAUUGCUCAAUUGAACUAAAAAGAGUAAAUGAAAACAAAGAAAACAGAAUUCCUGCUGCAGCAGAAGAGGGCCCAGCUCUCACUGACUAUUUCCAGGUGUUCAGCCACUUUCUUCCACCAGGAGCACUCCAGGGAACUGGAUGUACCACUGAUAGUACUGCAGACAGGAGAACUGUGCUCCUUCCCUCCGGAUUCAGUAUAUGGAUCUCCCACCCUGCCCAGRAUCAAAGGAGGCUGGUCCUUAGAGGAAGAAUGAGACCCGAUAAUUCAUGA
rnacentral:lncRNA from 1 species